rnacentral:lncRNA from 10 species
GAGCUUCAUGCAGACAGGCAGCUGGCUUUCUCUAGAGUAACUGGAGACAUGAACCCACUUCCGAGGGUCGUUCUUGAGUUCACUUACAGAGAAUCGAUCCUUACAGGUGACCUUCCCGGUAACAUACACAUUCAGACCUUCAGAGCCAGUUUUCAUUCUAAGUUUACUUUUAUUUCUACAAUAUGAUGAAUGGGAACUUCCUGGACAUCUUUUCCUGCCUUGUUCUUUGGUGUCUUGGUGGCACUAUGAGGUGAACUGGUGCUUGAUCAGAGAUGGACUGCUCCAUUGAAUCCCCAGCUCUGUCUAGAAAUGUCCUGGGCAUUUUGCCAACAAGGAUAAGAUGUUUUGUUUAAUAAACAAAUAAAAACUAAAGACUGCAUCCAACCACAUAAGGACACAGCAAGCACACUCUUCCUCUAGCAGUCCUUACCAGAAGACUCUGUGUCCAUCAAAGUCAGGCCUGCAGUGGCCUGGAACGGCCAUCCUAACUGACACCAUCUUCCGAUCACCCACGAUGACAGUGCGGGCAUCUGCCUUGGAAGACUCUGCCCUCUUUCUUGCGAGACCGAUGGACCAUCAGGCCCAGGCCAGGACUCUUGUGGUCUUCUUCACUACCCCUGGACUGCUUCAUUAACUCUUUCUCCUAUUUCUUUUUCCUCUGAUGUUAAAUGUUACUUUGUUUAUUGUGGAAUGUUUAACCUAUAACAUUUAUAUAUUGAUUAAGUAUACUGUGAUGUAUGGUUUGCAGUAUUGACGGACCUGUGAAGUGGCUUGAGCCUGUGUGCCCACAGCUCUGAAUCCCAAGUGAGCGGGACCUGCUAAGGAGAAUGCCUCCUUGGGAACUCCAUGUAACCUGUGGCUUUUGUGAUUAAAAUAGCAUCAAUAAAAG